rnacentral:rRNA from 1 species
GGAAUUGACGGGGGCCCGCACAAGCGGAGGAACAUGUGGUUUAAUUCGAUGAUACGCGAGGAACCUUACCCGGGCUCAAACGUUGCAGGAAGGGUGUCUGAAAGGAUGCCCGUCUACGGACCUGCGACGAGGUGCUGCAUGGUUGUCGUCAGCUCGUGCCGUGAGGUGUCGGCUUAAGUGCCAUAACGAGCGCAACCCCUACCGCCAGUUGCCAACAGGCAAAGCUGGGGACUCUGGCGGGACUGCCGGCGCAAGCUGCGAGGAAGGCGGGGAUGACGUCAAAUCAGCACGGCCCUUACGUCCGGGGCGACACACGUGUUACAAUGGCAGGUACAGCGGGAAGCCACCUGGCGACAGGGAGCGGAACCCGAAAGCCUGUCUCAGUUCGGAUUGGAGUCUGCAACCCGACUCCAUGAAGCUGGAUUCGCUAGUAAUCGCGCAUCAGCCACGGCGCGGUGAAUACGUUCCCGGGCCUUGUACACACCGCCCGUCAAGCCAUGGGAGUCGGGAGUGCCUGAAGUGCGUGAGCGCGAGCAGCGCCCUAGGGCAAAACCGAUGACUGGGGCUAAGUCGUAACAAGGUAGCCG